rnacentral:rRNA from 1 species
GACGAACGCUGGCGGCGUGCUAACACCAGCAAGGUGGACGGAAAGGCCCCUCGGGGUACUCGAGUGGCGAACGGGGGAGUAACACGUGGGGGAACUGCCCCGCACCUUGGGAUAAGCCUGGGAAACUGGGGCCAAUACCGAAUAGGACCAAGCGCUUCAUGGUGUGUGGGGGAAAGCUUUUGCGGUGUGGGAUGGGCCCGCGGCCUAUCAGCUUGUUGGUGGGGUAAUGGCCUACCAAGGCGACGACGGGUAGCCGGCCUGAGAGGGUGACCGGCCACACUGGGACUGAGAUGCGGCCCAGACUCCUACGGGAGGCAGCAGUGGGGAAUAUUGCACAAUGGGCGCAAGCCUGAUGCAGCGACGCCGCGUGAGGGAUGACGGCCUUCGGGUUGUAAACCUCUUUCAAUAGGGACGAAGCGCAAGUGACGGUACCUAUAGAAGAAGCACCGGCCAACUACGUG